UACGUAGGGUGCGAGCGUUAAUCGGAAUUACUGGGUUUAAAGGGUGCGUAGGCGGCCAUGUAAGUCAGGAGUGAAAGUUUGCGGCUCAACCGUAAAAUUGCUUUUGAUACUGCAUGGCUGGAAUCAGGAUGAGGUCAGCGGAAUGUGGCAUGUAGCGGUGAAAUGCAUAGAUAUGCCAUAGAACACCAAUUGCGAAGGCAGCUGGCUAGACCUGUAUUGACGCUGAGGCACGAAAGCGUGGGGAGCGAACAGG
rnacentral:rRNA from 1 species